UACGUAGGGGGCAAGCGUUAUCCGGAUUUACUGGGUGUAAAGGGAGCGUAGACGGUCACGCAAGUCUGAUGUGAAAGCCCAGGGCUCAACCCUGGGACUGCAUUGGAAACUGUGAGACUAGAGUGCAGGAGAGGUAAGUGGAAUUCCUAGUGUAGCGGUGAAAUGCGUAGAUAUUAGGAGGAACACCAGUGGCGAAGGCGGCUUACUGGACUGUAACUGACGUUGAGGCUCGAAAGCGUGGGGAGCAAACAGG
rnacentral:rRNA from 1 species